rnacentral:rRNA from 1 species
AUAAUAUUUUGAACCGCAUGGUUCAAAAGUGAAAGACGGUCUUGCUGUCACUUAUAGAUGGAUCCGCGCUGCAUUAGCUAGUUGGUAAGGUAACGGCUUACCAAGGCAACGAUGCAUAGCCGACCUGAGAGGGUGAUCGGCCACACUGGAACUGAGACACGGUCCAGACUCCUACGGGAGGCAGCAGUAGGGAAUCUUCCGCAAUGGGCGAAAGCCUGACGGAGCAACGCCGCGUGAGUGAUGAAGGUCUUCGGAUCGUAAAACUCUGUUAUUAGGGAAGAACAUAUGUGUAAGUAACUGUGCACAUCUUG